UACGGGGGGGGCAAGCGUUGUUCGGAAUUACUGGGCGUAAAGGGCUCGUAGGCGGCCAACUAAGUCGGACGUGAAAUCCCUCGGCUCAACCGGGGAACUGCGUCCGAUACUGGCGGGCUUGAAUCCGGGAGAGGGAUGCGGAAUUCCAGGUGUAGCGGUGAAAUGCGUAGAUAUCUGGAGGAACACCGGUGGCGAAGGCGGCAUCCUGGACCGGCAUUGACGCUGAGGCGCGAAAGCUAGGGGAGCAAACGGG
rnacentral:rRNA from 1 species